rnacentral:rRNA from 1 species
AUGGCCGUAGUCGAGACCUCCGCCGACCACGUCGCCCCCGCCGCCUCCGACCACGGCGCCGCGCCGUACCGUGCCUCGUCGGAGGGGGGCGACGCGGGGGAGCGCGAGAUGCGGGAUCUGGAGGAGCUCCUCUCCAAGCUCAACCCCAUGGCGGAGGAGUUCGUCCCGCCCUCGCUCGCCGCGCACCCCAUGCCGCCGCCCCCCUACGCCGGCUACUACCCCAACGGCCCACCCGCAGCCGGCUUCGCGCCGGUCGCCUCGCCGGGCCACCGCGGGGUCGUUGGCUUCCCCGCCGCCGACGGCCGCGGCAGGAAGAAGUUUGGAGGGUACGGCGGCGGCUACCCCCACGGCGGCAAGCGGCGGGUCAACAGCCGCACCAGCCAGGCGCAGCGCGACGAGGUGAUCCGCCGGACGGUCUACGUCUCCGACAUCGAUCAUCAGGUCACCGAAGAGCAACUGGCAGCACUAUUUAUCAACGUAGGGCAGGUUGUGGACUGCCGGAUGUGUGGGGAUCCAAAUUCAGUUCUUCGUUUUGCUUUCAUAGAGUUUACUGAUGAGGAGGGUGCAAGGGCUGCUCUAAAUCUGUCAGGAACUGUGCUUGGAUAUUAUCCUGUGAGGGUUCUGCCAUCAAAAACUGCAAUUGCACCAGUCAAUCCAACGUUCCUGCCCAGGUCUGAUGAUGAGCGUGAGAUGUGUGCAAGGACCAUCUACUGCACAAACAUCGACAAGAAGGUCUCUCAGGCAGAUGUGAAACUGUUCUUCGAGUCAAUUUGUGGAGAGGUCUAUCGGCUGAGGUUGCUUGGGGACUACCAGCAUAAUACUCGCAUUGCCUUUGUGGAGUUUGUUAUGGCUGAAAGUGCUACAGCUGCUCUCAACUGCAGUGGUGUUAUACUGGGUUCCCUGCCAAUAAGGGUGAGUCCAUCUAAGACUCCCGUUCGUCCCCGUGCUCCUCGGCCAAUGAACUAG